GAUGAAGAACGCAGCGAAAUGCGAUAAGUAAUGCGAAUUGCAGAAUUCCAGUGAGUCAUCGAAUCUUUGAACGCACAUUGCGCCCCCUGGUAUUCCGGGGGGCAUGCCUGUCCGAGCGUCAUUACUGCCCUCAAGCCCGGCUUGUGUGUUGGGCCCCGUCCUCCGAUCCCGGGGGACGGGCCCGAAAGGCAGCGGCGGCACCGCGUCCGGUCCUCGAGCGUAUGGGGCUUUGUCACCCGCUCUGUAGGCCCGGCCGGCGCUUGCCGAUCAACCCCAAUUUUUAUAGGUUGACCUCGGAUCAGGUAGGGAUACCCGCUGAACUUAAGCAUAUCAAUAAGCGGAGGA
rnacentral:misc_RNA from 1 species